GGUUCGAUCAUGGCUCGAUUGAACGCUGGCGGGGAUGUUUUACACAUGCAAGUCGGAGCAGCAGCACGGACUUCGGUCUGGUGGCGAGAGUGGCGAACGGGUGGUAAUGGUGUAUCGGGACGUGCCUAGUAGCGGGGGAUAACUACGCGAAAGCGUAGCUAUCCGCACUGCCGCCCUUCGAGAAGCGGGGGACCUUCGGGCCUCGCACUAUUGAAGCGGCCGAUCGGAUUGGCUAGUUGGUGGGGUAACGGCUCACCAAGGCGACGAUCCGUAGCUGGUUUGAGAGGACGACCAGCCACACUGGGACUGAGACGCGGCCCAGACUCCUACGGGAGAGGCAGCAGUGAAAUUUGGACAAUGGGGGAAACCCUGAUCCAGCCAUCCCGCGUGUGCGAUGAAGGCCUUCGGGUUUUAGUAAAGCACUUUUGGCAGGAAGAAGCAGUACAAAGGAUAAUACCCCGUGCAACUGACAGUGCCUGCAGAAUAAAACGCGCAGCUCCGGCUAACUACGUGCCAGCAGAGCCAUGAUGGCGAUGGGAUUCAGCGCAGUUAAUCGGAAUACUGGGCGUAAAGCGUGCGCAGGACGGUUCGGAAGAAAGAUGUGAAUCCAGAGCUUAACUUUGGAACUGCAUUUUUAACUACCGAGCUAGAGUGUGUCAGAGGGGAGGUGGAAUUCCGCGUGUAGCUUUGAUGAAUGCUGUGAUAGAUGUGCGGAGGACACCAGCGCCGAUGGCGAAGGCAGCCUCACAGGAUAACACUGACGCUCAUGCACGAAAGCGUGGGGAGCAAACGGGAUUAUGAAACCUGCCCUGGUGCGUCACGCCCUAAACGAUGUCAACCUAGCUGUUUGGGGCCUUCGGGCCUUGGUAGCGCAGCUAACGCGUGAAGUUGACUACUACUGGAAUUUGGUUGCGGGUUUAAGAAACUCUGGGGUGCGAAAAUUUGGGGACCGCCUGAAAGGCAGUGGAUGAUGUGGAUUAAUUUCGUCUUGCGAAAAAAAACCAUUACUACAUAAUGACAUGUCUAGAUCCGAGGAGAUUUGAGGUGCUCGCAAGAGAACCGGAACACAGGUGCUGCAUGGCUGUCGUCAGCCCGUGUCGUGAAUGUUGAGUUGGGAGAUCCGCAACGAAGGCGCAACCCUUGUCAUUAGUUGCUUUACCCGAAGGAGCUCUAUUGAAGUGUUGGGAUUCGUGGUGUCAGGUGCGGAAGGAAGGUGGGGAUGACGUCAGGGCCUCAUGGCCCUUAUGGGUAGGGCUUCACACGUCAUACAAUGGUCGGGACAGAGGGUCGCCAACCCGCGAGGGGGAGCCAAUCCCAGAGAAACCCGAUCGUAGUCCGGAUCCCGCAGUCUGCAACUCGACUUCGUGAAGUCGGAAUCGCUAGUAAUCGCGGAUCAGCAUGUCGCGGUGAAUACGUUCCCGGGUCUUGUACACACCGCCCGUCACACCAUGGGAGUGGGUUUUACCAGAAGUAGUUAGCCUAACCGUAAGGAGGGGGCGAUUACCACGGUAGGAUUCAUGACUGGGGUGAAGUCGUAACAAGAGUAG
rnacentral:rRNA from 1 species